CGGGAUUGCCCUAGUAACGGCGAGUGAAGCGGCAAGAGCUCAAAUUUGAAAGCUGGCCCCCUCGGGGUCCGCAUUGUAAUUUGCAGAGGAUGCUUCGGGAACGGCCCCCAUCUAAGUGCCCUGGAACGGGCCGUCAUAGAGGGUGAGAAUCCCGUCUGGGAUGGGGUGGCCGCGCCCGUGUGAAGCUCCUUCGACGAGUCGAGUUGUUUGGGAAUGCAGCUCUAAUUGGGUGGUAAAUUUCAUCUAAAGCUAAAUAUUGGCCGGAGACCGAUAGCGCACAAGUAGAGUGAUCGAAAGAUGAAAAGCACUUUGAAAAGAGAGUUAAACAGCACGUGAAAUUGUUGAAAGGGAAGCGCUUGCGACCAGACUCGCCCGCGGGGUUCAGCCGGCACUCGUGCCGGUGUACUUCCCCGCGGGCGGGCCAGCGUCGGUUUGGGCGGCCGGUCAAAGGCCUCUGGAAGGUAACGCCUCUCGGGGCGUCUUAUAGCCAGGGGUGCCAUGCGGCCUGCCCGGACCGAGGAACGCGCUUCGGCUCGGACGCUGGCAUAAUGGUCGUAAGCGACCCGUCUUGAAAAAAA
rnacentral:rRNA from 1 species